UGGGGAAUAUUGCACAAUGGAGGGAACUCUGAUGCAGCGACGCCGCGUGAGUGAUGAAGGAAUUCGUUUCGUAAAACUCUGUUCUAUGGGAAGAAAAGGACUGUACCAUAGGAGAAAGCUCCGGCUAAAUACGUGCCAGCAGCCGCGGUAAUACGUAUGGAGCGAGCGUUGUCCGGAAUUAUUGGGCGUAAAGGGUGCGCAGGCGGCUUUACAAGUUGGAUGUGAAAUAUUGUGGCUCAACCACAAACGUGCAUCCAAAACUGCAAAGCUUGAGUUAAGGAGAGGUAAGUGGAAUUCCUGGUGUAGCGGUGCAAUGCGUAGAUAUCAGGAGGAAUACCGGUGGCGAAGGCGACUUACUGGACUUAAACUGACGCUCAGGCACGAAAGCGUGGGGAGCAAACAGG
rnacentral:rRNA from 1 species